rnacentral:tRNA from 1 species
GCGGGCGUGAUGGAAUGGUAGACAUACGGGACUUAAAAUCCCGAGGGUGUAUACCCGUGCGGGUUCGAGUCCCGCCGCCCGCACCA